CAAAACGUAGCUUAACCCUAAAGCAUCUUGCUUACACCAAGAAAAUAUCUGUUAAAACCAGGUCGUUAUGA
rnacentral:tRNA from 1 species